UCAGAUUUAUCCGAUUUGUCGGAUUUGGUGGAUCGUUUGAUUAGGUUGAGGAAUCCUCCCUUGCCCUUCUUUUUCUCUCCAUCUUGAGAGUCUGAACUCUUCAUGGAACGUCUGGGAAGAGAAUGAGAGAAAGGCAGACAAACGUAAAAAAACAAACAAGGAAUACUUCAUGUUCAAUAGAAGAACUCAUCUACACCCUCAUCCACCCUUCCCAUGAGGCCAUUCUGCUCCCCAUCUUGAGAUGGAGCACCGUUGAUUUGCUGAAGGAGGAAGUUGGAGAAUUUUACACUAUGUUUGGACCAUUUGACAAGCAGUGGAUCUGGUUUGUCAUGCAUGUAUGGCAGCUCCACCAUUGAUGCCGGCAGACGUUGCUCCAGCUUGGGCAGGACCUGAGAUGGAGUGGGCGGAGUUUGAGAUGAAGUUGAAGUGUCCUCCACAUGGACAGGCACAUCCUCCAGGGCCUUGUCCAGGUCAAACUCCAUCUCUAAUCUCAGAGGGCUGUAUAGCAGCCACAGUGAGGAGAGACGGAAAAGGAACAGAAACAGUGAGACUUAGAAAGUGGUCACCUCCCCGGCCAUAGACUCCAGCUUCUCCUGGAUGGGUCCCACCGAGGAGCCGUUCACCUCGUCUCUGGAGGCUGAUCCAAGGUGGUAGAGAGUUUCUGGCGUCUUUGAUGAGGUUCUCUGCUGACCUGACAUCCUCCAAGAUGGCGUCCGUCUCGGAGUUCCUCAGGGAGUUCAGGUGGUCCUGCACCUUCACACAAAUCCUGUCAAUCAUCUGACAGAUAGAAAGACAUGAAAGUUUAAGUUAUCUUCUGCCUUCUGCUCAGUAGUGGUGAAUGUACAUCUCACAGUGUGUGGGUGUGUUUCAGAUUGCGUGCACACCUGUUGUGUGGUUGACGUCACA